AGUGAACGCUGGCGGUAGGCCUAACACAUGCAAGUCGAACGGCAGCACAGUAAGCGCUUGCUCUUACGGGUGGCGAGUGGCGGACGGGUGAGGAAUACAUCGGAAUCUACUUUUUCGUGGGGGAUAACGUAAGGAAACUUACGCUAAUACCGCAUACGACCUACGGGUGAAAGCAGGGGAUCUUCGGACCUUGCGCGAUUGAAUGAGCCGAUGUCGGAUUAGCUAGUUGGCGGGGUAAAGGCCCACCAAGGCGACGAUCCGUAGCUGGUCUGAGAGGAUGAUCAGCCACACUGGAACUGAGACACGGUCCAGACUCCUACGGGAGGCAGCAGUGGGGAAUAUUGGACAAUGGGCGCAAGCCUGAUCCAGCCAUACCGCGUGGGUGAAGAAGGCCUUCGGGUUGUAAAGCCCUUUUGUUGGGAAAGAAAAGCAGCAGGUUAAUACCCCGCUGUUCUGACGGUACCCAAAGAAUAAGCACCGGCUAACUUCGUG
rnacentral:rRNA from 1 species